AUGAUCACUUUGCCAGCACAUACCCUAAAACUGGAACCACAGAGAGAAGAUUAGCAUGGCCCCUGGACAAGGAUGACACACAAAUUCGUGAAGCGUUCCAUAUUUUU